UGUGCGACUGUCUCCAAGUCACAUACACUUUCUAAUUCUAUGUAAGGUAUUGGGUUAAGUCCCGCAAUGAGCGCAACCCUCGUGUUUAGUUGCCACCGUAGAGUUUAGAGCCCUAAACAGACCACCGGUGAUAAGCCGGAGGAAUGUGAGGAUGACUUCAAGUCAUCAUG
rfam:Macleaya cordata isolate BLH2017 scaffold8471, whole genome shotgun sequence.